AUUGAACGCUGGCGGCAUGCUUUACACAUGCAAGUCGAACGGUAACAGGUUAAGCUGACGAGUGGCGAACGGGUGAGUAAUGCAUCGGAACGUGCCCGAUCGUGGGGGAUAACGCAGCGAAAGCUGCGCUAAUACCGCAUACGAUCUGAGGAUGAAAGCGGGGGACCGUAAGGCCUCGCGCGAUCGGAGCGGCCGAUGUCAGAUUAGGUAGUUGGUGGGGUAAAGGCCCACCAAGCCGACGAUCUGUAGCUGGUCUGAGAGGACGACCAGCCACACUGGGACUGAGACACGGCCCAGACGCCUACGGGAGGCAGCAGUGGGGAAUGUUGGACAAUGGGAGAAAGCCUGAUCCAGCAAUGCCGCGUGCAGGAAGAAGGCCUUCGGGUUGUAAACUGCUUUUGGACGGAGCGAAAAGGUCCUUUCUAAUACAAGGGGCUCAUGACGGUACCGUAAGAAUAAGCACCGGCUAACUACGUGCCAGCCGCCGCGGUAA
rnacentral:rRNA from 1 species